UACAGAGGCCUCGAGCGUUAGGCGGAAUCACUGGGCUUAAAGCGUGUGCAGGCGGACUUCUAAGUACCUUGUGGAAAUCCCACGGCUCACCCGUGGAACUGCUCGGUAUACUGGUUGUCUUGAGCCUUCUAGGGGCGAGUGGAACAAAUGGUGGAGCGGUGAAAUGCGUAGAUAUCAUUUGGAACGCCAAUGGUGAAAACAACUCGCUGGGGAAGUGCUGACGCUGAGACACGAAAGCCAGGGGAGCGAACGGG
rnacentral:rRNA from 1 species